UGUAGUUGUGUGAUGUUUGCGGAGUAAGGACAAUCCGCUGCCAUCCGCCGUGCCCGGGGCUCUGGCGCCGCUCGGCCCCACUGUAUCGUUCUUUCUGUCCAGGCUCUGCGCUGCGGGCCGCUCCGAUGAGCCGAGAAGGGCUGUGCGGCUGCGGCAGCGCUUUUCUCCUUCUGUUCCUCCGUAACCGGGCCUGGCAUGGCAGCAUCCCAGCAUGGAAGGCGACCCCGGUGCGUGGUGACAGCCAUGUCUUGGCAGCGUUGAGCAGGCUUCCUUGGUGCUGACUAGCUCACUGAGCUGAUGGUGAGCCUACAGGAUAGACCUGAGGAAUGGCAGCAUGGAAAAGGGCAGGAGCACGUGAGGCCCUGUCCCAGGCAGGGAACUGGGCUUGCUUUCCUAAGGGCCUGAGUUGGAACAGCUGUGACGUGGAGCUAUGUCUCUGCAGUGUGUGGAUCUUAGGUAAGCUGGUCCCAAAGGGCUUCGGUGCUGCAGAGCAAGACUUGGUUUUUCUCUAGCUUUCCUCGAGAAGUGGGAGUUUGGUGUAGCGAGAUCCAGCCCCUUCCCAAGCCAUGAUGUAACAGCUGGGUGGUGUAACAGCUGCUCCUGGGCUCAGUGCACCUGCACCAUGGGGAGAGGGAACUGGUUUCGCUCCAGGUGCUGCUCAGAGUCCCAUUUAAAUGCUUAGUCCCUCCUGUUUCUCAGAAGAGCUUGGGGAAGGGUCCAGAUGGGAAAUACUUUGAAUAAACUCU